rnacentral:rRNA from 1 species
GUGUCAGCCGCCGCGGUAAUACGUAGGGUGCGAGCGUUAAUCGGAAUUACUGGGCGUAAAGCGUGCGCAGGCGGUUAUUUAAGUCAGGUGUGAAAGCCCUGGGCUUAACCUAGGAAUUGCGCUUGAGACUGGAUAGCUUGGAGUGUGGCAGAGGGAGGUGGAAUUCCACGUGUAGCAGUGAAAUGCGUAGAGAUGUGGAGGAACACCGAUGGCGAAGGCAGCCUCCUGGGCCAGCACUGACGCUCAUGCACGAAAGCGUGGGGAGCAAACAGGAUUAGAAACCCUGGUAGUCC